AGUUUUAUAGUUGAAUAACAACAGAAAAUUGCAGAUUUUCAAGUGCCGAAUGGCUAAAGCUU
rnacentral:tRNA from 1 species